rnacentral:lncRNA from 1 species
AAUAAUAACAACCCCCACCACCACAACCUGUAGAGCACCACUCCAAUGGCUUUACAUGAAAAAAUUGGUAAUACUGCUUUGAGGUAAAAUGGUCUGCCCUACCCCCACCUUUGAGGGCUUGAACCAAGUGGACAAGGGGAUUCAAAUAAAGUGGGUGGGUCAACCUCUGAGGGUUUUUUUAGGCUUUAAAACAGACUUGAUCACUGUGCUACUCACCUGUUCACAAACCCACCUCUUAAUUCUUCCAAGCUCCAGUCAUCACCGGCCAACUUUGCCAUCAUGGUUAGCAAGGAAGAGUUUUAUGAGUUUUCCGGAGGAGAGGAGAAAAUGUCCAAGCAACAAUUCACUGACAUGUUAGCAAAACAGCAACCGGAUGCAACCCCAGAUCAGGUGGAUGACCUUUUCAAGGCUUUUGAUGACAAUGCCGACGGGAAGAUUUCUUUUGAUGAAGUUCUUCUCUUCAUUGAAAAGCUGAAAAGCUACGCAGCACAAUCCUGAUUAUGUGCAACCUUACAAUGUUAGAGUGAAAGUACAUCAAAUGUGACCAACAAGUAAGCAAAAAUAAAUCUUUGAAUUAAAAACUUCCA